GUUGACAAGUCGAACGAUGAUCUCAGCUUGCUGGGGGGAUUAGUGGCGAACGGGUGAGUCCCACGGGAGUAACCGGCCCUUGACUCUGGGAUAAGCCUGGGAAAUUGGGUCUAAUACCGGAUAUGACCAUCUGGCGCAUGUCAUGGGGGUGGAAAGCUUUUGUGGUUUUGGAUGGACUCGCGGCCUAUCAGCUUGUUGGGGGGGUAAUGGCCUACCAAGGCGACGACGGGUAGCCGGCCUGAGAGGGUGACCGGCCACACUGGGACUGAAACACGGCCCAAACUCCUACGGGAGGCAGCAGGGGGGAAUAUUGCACAAUGGGCGCAAGCCUGAUGCAGCGACGCCGCGUGAGGGAUGACGGCCUUCGGGUUGUAAACCUCUUUCAGUAGGGAAAAAGCCUUUCGGGGUGACGGUACUUGCAAAAAAAGCGCCGGCUAACUACGUGCCAGCAGCCGCGGUAAUACGUAGGGCGCAAGCGUUAUCCGGAAUUAUUGGGCGUAAAGAGCUCGUAGGCGGUUUGUCGCGUCUGCUGUGAAAGACCGGGGCUCAACUCCGGUUCUGCAGGGGGUACGGGCAAACUAGAGUGCAGUAGGGGAGACUGGAAUUCCUGGUGUAGCGGUGAAAUGCGCAAAUAUCAGGAGGAACACCGAUGGCGAAGGCAGGUCUCUGGGCUGUAACUGACGCUGAGGAGCGAAAGCAUGGGGAGCGAACAGGAUUAGAUACCCUGGUAGUCCAUGCCGUAAACGUUGGGCACUAGGUGUGGGGGACAUUCCACGUUUUUCCGCGCCGUAGCUAACGCAUUAAGUGCCCCGCCUGGGGAGUACGGCCGCAAGGCUAAAACUCAAAGGAAUUGACGGGGGCCCCCGCCACAAGCGGGGGGAGCAUGCGGAUUAAUUUCGAUGCACCGCGAAAGAACCUUACCAAGGCUUUGAAAUUGCACCGGAAAGACCUGGAAACAGGGGGCCCCGCUGGCGGCCCGGAUUACAGGGGGUGCCAUGGUUGUCGUCAGCCUCGGUGUCGUGAGAUGUUGGGAUUAGUCCCCGCAACCGAAGCCACACCCCUCGAUUCCUAUGUUGCGGGCGUUUCGCGGGGACCUCAUAGAGACCUGCCGGGGCUCCAACCUCACG
rnacentral:rRNA from 1 species